rnacentral:rRNA from 1 species
GACGAACGCUGGCGGCGUGCUUAACACAUGCAAGUCGAACGGAAAGGCCCUGCUUUUGUGGGGUGCUCGAGUGGCGAACGGGUGAGUAACACGUGAGUAACCUGCCCUUGACUUUGGGAUAACUUCAGGAAACUGGGGCUAAUACCGGAUAGGAGCUCCUGCUGCAUGGUGGGGGUUGGAAAGUUUCGGCGGUUGGGGAUGGACUCGCGGCUUAUCAGCUUGUUGGUGGGGUAGUGGCUUACCAAGGCUUUGACGGGUAGCCGGCCUGAGAGGGUGACCGGCCACAUUGGGACUGAGAUACGGCCCAGAAUCCUACGGGAGGCAGAAGUGGGGAAUAUUGCACAAUGGGCGGAAGCCUGAUGAAGCAACGCCGCGUGCGGGAUGACGGCCUUCGGGUUGUAAACCGCUUUCGCAUGUGACGAAGCGUGAGUGACGGUAAUGGGUAAAGAAGCACCGGCUAACUACGUG